UACAGAGGUGGCAAGCGUUGUUCGGAAUUACUGGGCGUAAAGGGCGCGUAGGCGGCCUUCUAAGUCGAACGUGAAAUCCCUGGGCUCAACCCAGGAACUGCGUCCGAUACUGGAAGGCUUGAAUCCGGGAGAGGUAAGCGGAAUUCCUGGUGUAGCGGUGAAAUGCGUAGAUAUCAGGAGGAACACCUGCGGUGUAGACGGCUUACUGGACCAUCACUGACGCUGAGGCACGAAAGCGUGGGUAGCAAACAGG
rnacentral:rRNA from 1 species